rnacentral:tRNA from 1 species
CCGUUGAACUGGAAGAGGGCGCCAGUCGGGCUGUUUGAACCGGCCGACGACGUCGGCGCGGCUGUUCCACCUCCGCCUCCGAGGGGC